rnacentral:tRNA from 2 species
GGGAGUGGAUGGGUACUGGUGUGCCCUCUGGACUUCAAAUCCACGGUGGGGCUUUAGAAGGGUCCCAGGUGGGUUCGAUUCCCACGCACUCCCUCCA